rnacentral:rRNA from 1 species
UAACGGGUAACGGGGAAUUAGGGUUCGAUUCCGGAGAGGGGGCCUGAGAAAUGGCCACCACUUCCAAGGAAGGCAGCAGGCGCGCAAUUUAUCCAAUCCUAAUUCAGGGAGAUAGUGACAAGAAAUACCAAUACAGGACCAAUGGUGCUGUGUUUGGAAUGAGUGUAAUUUAAAAACCUUAUCGAGGAACCAUUGGAGGGCAAGUCUGGUGCCAGCAGCCGCGGUAAUUCCAGCUCCAAUAGUGUAUACUAAAGUUGCUGCAGUUAAAAAGCUCGUAGUUGGAUUUCGGUUAAUAGGAUGGUAGUCUACUUUCUAUAAGUACGCACUUCCAGCCUAUUUCCUUCUUUUCGGAUAUACUAUUUUAUAGUGUUCCGAAUCUUUUACUUUGAGAAAAUUAGAGUGUUCAAAGCAGGCGUAACCAAGCCUUUGAAUAUAUUAGCAUGGGAUAAUGAAAUAAGACUUUUGCCUUAUUCUCGUUGGUUUCUGAGGCUAAAGUAAUGAUUAAUAGGGAUAGUUGGGGUCAUUAGUAUUUAAUUGUCAGAGGUGAAAUUCUAAGAUUUAUUAAAGACUAACUACUGCGAAAGCAUUUGACAAGGAUGUUUUCAUUAAUCAAGAACGAAAGUUGGGGGAUCGAAGAUGAUCAGAUACCGUCGUAGUCUCAACCAUAAACUAUGCCGACCAAGGAUUCGGGGGUGUUAUAUGAAUGACCCUCCGGGCACUUAUAGAGAAAUCAUAAGUAUUUGGGUUCCGGGGGGAGUAUGGUCGCAAGGCUGAAACUUAAAGGAAUUGACGGAAGGGCACCACCAGGAGUGGAACUUGCGGUUUAAUUUGACCCAACACGGGAAAACUUACCAGGUCCAGACACAGUGAGGAUUGACAGAUUGAGAGCUCUUUCUUGAUUUUGUGGGUGGUGGUGCAUGGCCGUUUCUAGUUGGUGGAGUGAUUUGUCUGGUUAAUUCCGUUAACGAACGAGACCUUAACCUAUUAAAUAGUUACAUGAACCUGGACUCUGUCCAACAGUUCAUGGGUAACUUCUUAGAGGGACUCUUCACGUAAAUAGUGAAUGGAAGUUUGAGGCAAAAACAGGUCUGUGAUGCCCUUAGAUGUUCUGGGCUACACGCGUGUUACACUGACAUAUUCAACAAGCAUUAUUAUUCCUUACCCGAUGGGGUUGGGUAAUCUUUUAAAUGUAUGUCGUGAUGGGGAUAGAGCCUUGUAAUUAUUGCUCUUGAACGAGGAAUUCCUAGUAAGUGCAGGUCAUCAACCUGCGCUGAUUACGUCCCUGCCCUUUGUACACACCGCCCGUCGCUCCUACCGAUGAAUGGUCCGGUGAGGACUCAGGAUGACCUUGGAUUUUGGUUAUAAAAUGCCAUUCCACUGCUUGUCAGAAUCUGUUCAAACCUUAUCAUUUAAAGGAAGGAGAAGUCGUAACAAGGUU